rnacentral:tRNA from 1 species
GGGCCCGUAGCCUAGCAGGACAGGGCGCCGGCCUUCUAAGCCGGAGGUCGCGGGUUCGAAUCCCGCCGGGCCCGCCA